ensembl:lncRNA
AUGAGAGAAACUGAAGAUGUAAUUUGGGCUUGGAAAUCUUCAGCGAGUCUCGGAUGGAGCCUGCGGAGAGCAGCGGGAGUGUGUGUGUGUUUUCCCGCCGGCGCGCUCAUCUUCACUACCUCUUGUCGAGCUAAUGGCUGCUGGAAUCGCUCUGCAAGCACUCGGGCCCCUGAGAGUGAGAAUAAACCUGCUGGGACGAGAGAGAGAGAGGGGGGCCCUCGCUGUUUCAAACAAGAGGGCAAAGGAGUCAGAAUCUUCUGGAUGCUCUUUCCCUUGUGAUCCACCUCACAAAAGUACCGGGUGUACCAGCUCUCUGAAGAAACAUGAAUGGAAUACUGUAGACUCAUUUCAAAUUGAUUGAUGAUUUCUGCAAAAAAGAGUUAAGAAUGAUUCUUUGGUGGGCUGAACUAUCCCUUUCAUCAUCAUCAUCAUCUAAUCACCCUCAUGUCUGUAUGAGUUUUUUUUUUUUUUUUUUUUUCUGUUGAAAACAAAAGUAGAUAUUUUGGAGAAUGCUAUGCCUAUUAAAGGAAUAGUUCACCCAAAAAUGAAGACUUGCUGUUAAUUUACCCACACUCAGGUCAUCCAAGAUGUAGGUUUAGUUUUUCUUCAGUAGGGCAGUAAAGAAGUUUUAAGCUAAAACCGUUCUCCUUGGUGAUUCAUAAAAUGCAAGUCAAUGGCUACCCUUUAUUGAGAAUAUAAAAGAAUACCCAUGGCCCCUGACGAUAUAUUGAGAUUGUAUGAAGCAAACCGAUCGGUCUUGCAAGAAACUGGGAAAAGGUUAUUUACAGCAUUGUUACCUGUAAUCCAGAGCCUCUGGCAAACGGUUCAGAGUCAUAUCUGGUUCACAAAUGAAUUAUUAUUUUUAAACACAUUCUUUUUAGUGAACUAGAUGAAUCAGUUCAUCAAAUCAGACUAUUGCCUUGUGGUUUUUAGGGUUUUAUGGGUGGUUACAUACAUAGGUGGUUGCUAGGGUCUUCUGUAUUGUUAGGUGUUGCUAUGCAGUGGUAGGCGGUUGGUGAGAUGUUGUGGGUAGUUGCUAGGGUGUUACUAUGUGGUUGCUAGGUGUUUUCUUCCCUAUGUGAAAAGAAUGAGUCCCUCCCUCAAUGUAAGUCUUUGGCCUUUGUGAUUUCUGUUGUGCGGCAGGAUAAUUCAAGGCAUCGUUCAUGUGUGUGGCUCAGAUGGUGAGCUGAAGUCUAAUAGACUAAUUCAUUUUGCACAAACUGAACUUGAAAUUGAGUCAUUCUGAAACAGCUCACAGUGAUCACAAUAUAAAAUGACA